GAUGAAGAACGUAGCGAAAUGCGAUAAGUAAUGUGAAUUGCAGAAUUCAGUGAAUCAUCGAAUCUUUGAACGCACAUUGCGCCCGCCAGCACUCUGGCGGGCAUGCCUGUUCGAGCGUCAUUUCAACCAUCAAGCCCCCAGGGGCUUGUGCUGGGGCCCUGCGGCUGCCCGCAGGCCCUGAAAACCAGUGGCGGGCUCGCUAGUCACACCGAGCGCAGUAGCACAGCUCGCUCAGGGCGUGCGGCGGGCUCCUGCCGUGAAACCCCCCACUGUAACCCCAAAGGUUGACCUCGGAUCAGGUAGGAAUACCCGCUGAACUUAAGCAUAUCAAUAAGCGGAGGA
rnacentral:misc_RNA from 1 species